GGAGAGAUGCCCGAGUGGUCGAAGGGGGCGGUCUUGAAAACCGCUGAACGCAAGUUCCGGGGGUUCGAAUCCCUCUCUCUCCG
rnacentral:tRNA from 1 species